GAGCCCGUAGCUCAGUUGGUAGAGCAACUGACUUUUAAUCAGUUGGCCGCGCGUUCGAGUCGCGCCGGGCUCACCA
rnacentral:tRNA from 1 species